AAAGUAGUUGCCUGGCUUGUUGGGUCUGCUCUCAAACUAACUCUUACCUUUUCCAUUUUCUGCUGGGCACUUUUCAGUGUUCGCUACCUCAGUGGAAAACACAUUUGGGUCAAUUUAUUUGAGAAAAACUCAUGAAAUAUCAGAUAUCACAGAGCCUAUAUUCAAAGAUUUCCAAAAGAACCCAGAAGGUCAAAUUGGCAGUACAGAACUUUUUAAUAACUGCUGGUCACAUCACGAAAUUAGAAGAUGACUAAGAUUUUUGUAGAAGCUGUAACCAGUGUGGUGGCACAGUAUGGAUCAAGAGUUUUGGAGAAGGGACAAAGCUCAUAGUAACUCCUUUUGAUAGAACAUGGUGCUGCUUCCUCCUGAUAACUUGCAAAACCUGUAUUAUUGGCUUUGAUUUUACCUCUAACAGGAAUGCAUAAAAAUUACUUCUUAGAGUAAGUGACUACAGCACAUCAAUACAUUCCACUUCUUAUUACUCUAGCUCAUUAGGGGAUAGACUGAGAUCAGACAAAAGUGUGCUACUGUGACUCUUGUUAUGUGGCCUGGAGAUGAGUCAGUUUAGUGGAAUAUGUAAGUUCAAUGAACCAUUUCAGCUCUAAGUCCAUGAAAAGUCUACGUGGUUUUACAUCCUCAUUUGUUCAUUCAAUCUCUGGGUAAACAUCUAUUGAAGACAGUGUCUGUGCUGAAUGGUGGGAAUAAAAGGGUAAAAAAGACACAGUUCUGACCUGCAAAAAGCUUUCAGUCUAGUGAAUGGGUGUUCUAGUUACUGACUUGACUGGGCCUCCUGUUCUUUGGUCUGUAGCUGGUAGAAUUGUAGGAGGCCUUGGGUUCAUGAGCUCUUUCCCUUUCCUUAUGUAGAGGCUAUUGCUUAUAAAAUACUUGUGUUUGGUGGAAAAAUUUGGUGGAAAUGGCCCAAUGCCAUCCCAUUAAAAUGACACCAUACUAAAAAUUUCAGUGCCUUAUCUCAUUCCUCAACAACCCUAUGCAAGAGAUACUUUUAUCCCCAUUUUACAGAUGAGGAAACUAAGGCUUAGAGAAGUUCAUGUAAUUGAUAUUUGCCUAAGGUCACAGGACUAGUUAUUGUGGUGAUGUUUGGAUUCCAAUCUAGAUUUGUUUAGUCCAAAGCCCACGGUCUUAGCCAUUAUGCGAUAUUACAAAUAUUAAGUCAAACUUUUGUAUUCUUAAUAUUUUCUCAUCUGUGCCAAGACCUCUUAAAUAGAUUCUUUAAUGGACUAAUUAGUAACUAGUUACUACUCAUGUGUGAAAACAAUGCUUCUACUUCUAAUCAAAGAACUAAAAUUGCUGCCCCCAAAGAAAGAUCAUGAAAGUCAUAUUGAAUAUGCAUUAAUUAAAUAAUCAAAAUGUGAUUCGUAGGGUAUUUCUACAGAAUGACAAAUCAUUUUGAUCCCCUCCCAUUCAGCUUUCUUUCUGUAUUGGCAUCAAGUGUGCUAGACAUGUUGAAGCUGGCUAAAGAAUAGUAGCUGUACUACAUCAACAAACUAAGCUUCAUCACUGAGAGCUGCCUCUCAGUUCAUGAUGGAACAGCUGAAGGAAUAUUCACAACAGGAUUCUCUUAUAAGAAGCACAGAAUUUUUAUUCAAUGCUCUGGAAAUUGUAAAUGUUGUGUUUAAAAAUGAAAAAGAGCAGGCUUUCAACAAAGAGUAAUAGCUCAUUGAGAAUUCAUACUCUCUAACAGCUCGUCUAGGGUACUACAAAGAGGUUAUACUAGAAGCACUUCAGAUGUUCACCCUCAUACACAUAAAACACAAAAUUCCUGUAACUGAUAUUGAAUGUGCAUUUGUUAAGUACUCAUGUAUAUAUGAUUCCCAUUAUUGUUUCUCUUAGAAAAUUAAGCAAAUAUUAAUUAACUUUAAAUGCUAUUACAUUUGUUGCAAAGAACAGGCUUUAUAAAUGAAAAAAUUUUUAAGGCAGCUGAUUUAGAAGAUUCAAGCAAAAUGAUAAAAAUAAAAUAAAAAAAAAAGGUGAAACAAGUCUCUCCAAUGUAUGAGAUUCAAGAGAAAGAACAUAACCCAAGCUUCCUUGGCUGAGUGGGGCCACUACUUACAUUCUCAGUUACACUCAGAUCUAAUGUGAUUUUGUUUGAGCUUUGUCUUUGUUUAAUGUGAGCAGGGCCAAUUUUUAUUUAUUUAUAUAAAUAUUGAAAUAAAUAUAGGAGCUAUUUUAAAACAGGCACAAAGGGAGAUUUCUAUAAAGGGUUUUCAGGUAGUGGGCAAGUGGAUGGCAAGAGAGUCAAAGUGUUUGGUCUUGGCACCAAGCUCAUUGUUACAGGUAAAUUUUCCUUAACUAUUGCAUUGGAAAUUUAAAUUCACUUAAAUUCUGCAUUGUAAUGUGACCAAGGAGGCAGGUGAUGCAGGUGCUACAGGGUAGAGUCCUGAUACGGGCUUUAGAAUCCUUGGAUUUAGUUCCAAUUUGAUCAUGAAUCAUGGUGGGAUGGCUGAAGAGGUGAGGAACUUGGUCCAGUUUCUAAAGAGGCAAUAUACACUGACCUAUUACCUGCAGGACAUUAACAAGGAGUUUAACAAGGAAUUUAGAACAACCAUGGAUUCCAAAAGGAUGGAGAUGUUAUAUCCCUUUGAUAUUUCUGAGUUGAAAGGUUUGUAAACACAUUUAUGCAUUUUAUUUGUUUGAUGCCAAGAAUAAACAAUAAAUAAUGUAUAACCAUUAAUAAAAAUGAAAAAAAAAUCUUGUUAAACUUGUCAUUUGGUCAUGGAGGAUUAACUAUUUGGUGAUUUGACUGCAGGAUAAUUCAUAUCAAAUAUUGAAACAUGUGGCUUAGUGACCAUACUCCAGAAUGUCAUAAGCUGAGUUUAUUUGUUUUUUUCUAAAUUCAGUCCAAUAAGUUUGUUUAUUCCUCAUUAGCCUUAAAGAUGAACUUUUGCCUGAAAGAAGGAGAACAUUUUACAGAUGUUUCUAGCCUAGAAAAUUAACUGAAAUGAAAAGUUUAAAAGAAUUUUCAUAAAGAUGAUGAACUGUUGAAAAAUAGAAAGGGACUAUUUUUUAGUGGUUGAGGUUAUAUGAAAAAAUGAAUUCAUCAAUGGAAAAGUAACUUUCUGGUCUUCUUUUUUUCUAAUUGACUACAUACUGAGUGUGAAUUGUAGCAAUCAGACUUAAUAUAAUCAGUUAUGUCCCUGAGAAGUGUUUUUGGAAGUGUGUGGGGCAGGGGAAAGUAGGGACUUGGCUUUGAUUCUGGAAUAGGGCUUCUGGUUAUAUCACUUCCUGUGCAAACAACCUUUAGCAAGGAAAUUUCGAUUCACUGGUUAUUGCUUUAUUAAAAUUAUGAACAUAGUAUUUGCUCAUUAUAGAAAGAUUGAAAAUAUAAAAAAUUAAUGUUUGGUACUGCAUUUAUCACUGCUAACACUUUGAUACAUUACCAUCUGAUCUUUUUAUCUAUGCAUAUUUUUGUUUGUUUUAUAAAUUUGGGAUCAUAGUAGAUACACAACAACUUAUCUGGCUUUCUUUUACGUCACACUACUUCAUGAACACGUUUCCCAAAUGUCUUUAACAUAGUUCAGUAACUGAGCAAAUCUUAAACUACU